rnacentral:lncRNA from 1 species
AGACAGGGUCUCACUAUGUUGGCCAGGCUGGUCUUGAACUUUUGGGUGCCAACAACCCUUCUGCUUCAGCCUCCCAAAGUGCUGGAAUUACAGGCAUGAGCCACCAUGCUCAGCCAAGAAAAAAGUUUUAAUUGACUCACAGUUCCACAUGGUUGGGGAGGACUCAGGAAACUUACAAUCAUGGCUGAAGGUGAAAGAGAAGCAAGGCAUGCUUUACAUGGCAGCAGCAGAGAGAGAAAGUAAUACGGGGGGACUCUGUGGCUAAUUUGGAUUUAAACUCCAAGCCAGGAUAUGGGCACAUUUGGUGAACAAAUGUUAUGAGUCCCUUCUCUCAUGAGCACCUUUGAGUGUGAGCUUUAUGUACAGGUAUGCAAGCCAACACUUUGUUUCCUAUCUCACAUAUUUUUUAAGACUGAAGCCUUCUAGUUACUGAGCUCAAUUCAGUGUGUGAAAGAUGUUUGCUAUAAACAACAUGGCAACCAGGCCAAAUGAUCUGAAGGAGAGAGACAGCAUUGGAGUUGGAAGUUGCGUGUCUUUGACAACCUAAUCUCAGAGAUGAUUAUUUCUCUCAUAUUGUUUUGGCCACACAGAUUAACUAUGGUGUAAUAUGGGAGAGGAUUACAUGAAGUUUCUAACACCAGGAAGAGGUGAUCAUUGGAAGCCGUUUUACAUGCUGGCUGCCAGAAUACAUUCCCAUUUUUAAAUUAUUUUAAUUCUAGUACAUACUGACAGUUCAUGAUUGCAAAGACACAAUGAAAUGAUAUGAUAGAACAGAUAUCUGAAGGUGUCAAGGGAUAGUAAAGUGGAAAAUAAUUUAAAUAGAAAGUUUUUACAGACAAACUUAGCUAGCCAAUGGUGGAUUUGUUUGUUUCACAAUAAUUUCAUACUGGUAAGUUUGUUUUCUUAUAAUACAACUGACGUAGAAUUUUUCUUCUCGGUCAUUUUGCAAGCCAGAGACCCCUGGCUGGCAAUGCCCCACCCAGGCCUCGCUCCACCACACUUGAGUGCCCCAGCUUGCCUGUGUUACAGCUUGUACCCACGUUCGGCAGUUCCUGAGCUCUUUAUACUGUGCCCAAGAAGAAUGAGGAUACACUGGACAUUGAAAGAAAUAUGAAAUGAUUUUGGCUAUACGGUGAUGUAAUGAACUAUUCCAUGAUUUCCUGAACUGCUGUCUGGAGUGAGAAGGGAUCUUGAGCAUCUGGCUUAGGCUGGAAUUCUAGGAUUAAGGUCAGAUAUGAGAAUGAAGGCCCACAAGGUGUGUUGGAAAGAAGAACCAGAAAAAAGUUUUAGGAACUAAAACUCAAACCCAAAGUAGGAACUUAAGGAGAAUAAUACUUAAUAAAAAAUAGGAGGUUUGUCCAGGCACAGUGGCUCACGCCUAUAAUCUCAGCACUUUGGAGGCCAAUGCAGACAGAUCACCUGAGGUUAAGAGUUCGAGACCAGCCUAGCAAAUAUGGUGAAACCCCAUCUCUACUAAAAAUACAAAAAAAUUACCAGGAGUGGUAGCACAUUCCUGUAAUCCCAGCUACUUGCGAGACUGAGGCAGGAGAAUUGCUUGAACCCAGGAGAUGGAGGUUGCAGCGGGCUGAGAUCAGGCCAAUGCACUCCAGCCUAGGCUACAGAGCGAGACUCCAUCUCAAAACGAAACAAGAAAAAGUAAGAGGUUUGUGAUUGGGGUCAAAUAUAAAGUAUG